GCGGACGUGGCGGAAUUUGGUAUACGCGCAGCCUUGAGGUGGCUGUGGUCACAAAGCCUUGGAGGUUCAAGUCCUCUCGUCCGCA
rnacentral:tRNA from 3 species